UUUAGACUUUGAUGAAGAGCCGGAAUCUGAGGAGGAAAUGCCCUGUCCAGGAGGCCUAAUGCUCCUCCACUGCACAAGGUUCCGCUGAAGACAUCUUAAACUGAUGGAUAUCUUACACUGUGACAGAUCAUUGGAAGCUGUUGAAGAAAUGUUUAGGCCUCACAGCAGAGAAGAAGGUCCAGAACACUGAAGACAAACUACAGGAGAAGACCAGGACAUGGAUGGCAAUCCAGGCUGUUUUAAAAAGGCUGAGGUUGCUGCUUGGUCUCUGCCAGAUUCAAAACAACCUAUGGAUAUUUAAAAUCAUGAAGACUUUGAAGCUGAUGAGCAGUGCUAGGACUUUCUCUACUUCCCAAGACCUACUCAGCUGAACCCAAACUUGCAGAGUCAUCAAAUCUCAGGUCCCUCCCUCAGCCUGGUCACAAGUUCUCUGACUGCUUCCCAGGCUCCAGAAGGUGCAACUCAAGGUAUGGUAUCUGUAAAUGGGGUGAAAGGUGGAAGCUAAUGAGACUGUUCUGGAAUCUUCUUCAGUAUCCAAGGUAACAUGGGUUCUUCAAGGAAAACUUGACUAUUUCAUUUGUCAAAAUGGCCAGACAAUUUUGCUGUAAGUAAGGAAGUUCAGAACUUUAGCUUUUCCCAAAAGAACGGCAAGUUGAUUUUGUAACUCGGACCACUGCCUUACUCCUGUAUCCCUCAAUAUCUAUGUUCUAUCCUAUAUGCCCAGACCUGUUAAGAUGAACAUACUCUGGACGAGGACACUGAGCCAAAG